rnacentral:rRNA from 1 species
UCCGGAAUUAUUGGGUGUAAAGGGUGCGUAAGAUGGGAGAGCAAGUUAGUUGUGAAAUCCCUCGGCUUAAACUGAGGAACUGCAACUAAAACUCACUUUUCUUGAGUGCAGGAGAGGUAAGUGGAAUUCCUAUGUACGGUGAAAUGCGUAGAUAUUAGAGGAACACCAGUGGCGAAGGCGACUUACUGGACUGUAACUGACGUUGAGGCACGAAAGUGUGGGGAGCAAACAGGAUUAGAUACCCUGGUAGUCCACACCGUAAACGAUGGAUACUAGGUGUAGGAGAUAUUAAGUCUUCUGUGCCGUCGCAAACGCAAUAAGUAUCCCACCUGGGGAGUACGGCCGCAAGGUUGAAACUCAAAGGAAUUGACGGGGGCCCGCACAAGCAGUGGAGUAUGUGGUUUAAUUCGAAGCAACGCGAAGAACCUUACCAGGGCUUGACAUAUAUAGGAAUAAUUAAGAGAUUAAUUAGCUUUCGGAGUCUAUAUACAGGUGGUGCAUGGUUGUCGUCAGCUCGUGUCGUGAGAUGUUGGGUUAAGUCCCGCAACGAGCGCAACCCCCUGUCCUUAGUUACCAGCAAGUAAAGUUGGGGACUCUAAGGAGACUGCCGUAGAUAAUACGGAGGAAGGUGGGGAUGACGUCAAAUCAUCAUGCCCUUUAUGUCUGGGCUACACACGUAUACAAUGGGUGUAACAGAGGGAAGCAAAAUAGUGAUAUAGAGCAAAACCCAAAAAGCACCCCCAGUUCGGAUUGUAGGCUGAAAUUCGCUACAUGAAGCCGGAAUUGUAGUAAU